UUACGGUCAAAUCACGCUGAAAACACCGGUUCUCGUUCGAUCACCGAAGUUAAGCAUCGUAGAGCCAGGUCAGUACUUAGAUGGGGGACCGCUUGGGAACACCUGGUAUUGUAAGC